CGAGGACGACGCUGGCGGCGUGCUUAACACAUGCAAGUCGAACGGUAAGGCCCUUCGGGGUACACGAGUGGCGAACGGGUGAGUAACACGUGGGUGAUCUGCCCUGCACUUCGGGAUAAGCUUGGGAAACUGGGUCUAAUACCGGAUAGGACCACGGUCUGCAUGGAUUGUGGUGGAAAGCUUUUGCGGUGUGGGGAUGGGCCCGCGGCCUAUCAGCUUGUUGGUGGGGUGAUGGCCUACCAAGGCGACGACGGGUAGCCGGCCUGAGAGGGUGUCCGGCCACACUGGGACUGAGAUACGGCCCAGACUCCUACGGGAGGCAGCAGUGGGGAAUAUUGCACAAUGGGCGCAAGCCUGAUGCAGCGACGCCGCGUGGGGGAUGACGGCCUUCGGGUUGUAAACCUCUUUCAGCAUCGACGAAGCGCAAGUGACGGUAGAUGCAGAAGAAGCACCGGCCAACUACGUG
rnacentral:rRNA from 1 species